rnacentral:rRNA from 1 species
AGUGAACGCUGGCGGUAGGCCUAACACAUGCCAGUCGAACGGCAGCACAGUAAGAGCUUGCUCUUACGGGUGGCGAGUGGCGGACGGGUGAGGAAUACAUCGGAAUCUACUUUUUCGUGGGGGAUAACGUAGGGAAACUUACGCUAAUACCGCAUACGACCUACGGGUGAAAGCAGGGGAUCUUCGGACCUUGCGCGAUUGAAUGAGCCGAUGUCGGAUUAGCUAGUUGGCGGGGUAAAGGCCCACCAAGGCGACGAUCCGUAGCUGGUCUGAGAGGAUGAUCAGCCACACUGGAACUGAGACACGGUACAGACUCCUACGGGAGGAAGCAGUGGGGAAUAUUGGACAAUGGGCGCAAGCCUGAUCCAGCCAUACCGCGUGGGUGAAGAAGGCCUUCGGGUUGUAAAGCCAUUUUGUUGGGAAAGAAAAGCAGCAGGUUAAUACCCCGCUGUUCUGACGGUACCCAAAGAAUAAGCACCGGCUAACUUCGUG